AUGAGUAAAAAUACACUUGUGCCCAGUUGGUGGCAGGGUGGACUGGGCUCCAGUUCCCAUAAGUGAUACAGCUUGGAAGGCCACUUCAGUCCUCCUCAGUCAUCCACCAGGGAAGGGCUCACCCCAGACACAGACACGCAUGGAAGCAGCAUCCAUGGAGUGGGCAACUGUGGGUAAACUCCACUCAACUCCGACAUAUUCAAGGAAGGCAUGGCAGGGACAGCUGUUUACACUGGCAUAAACCAGUGUGCUCUCAGGCAGGGUGAGAACUGAACUGGGAAACUGGACUCUCAGCCAGACUACAAACACCAAAAAGCAAGAGUUUUCUUGAGACACAGGGUGUACGGUUCGUGGACAUGCUCAUGCUGGAAUGAGCCACAUCUAACAGCAGGGUCCAGAUGAGUCUGAAGGUGACUGCUGGUUACCUUCCUUGCCUGUUGCUAGUAUUGUGUGGGUUUAGAAAAGGGGCACAGGGCCAGAACCCAAGGCCAGCAGCAGACAAGACCUCCAUCUCUUAUCCUAGCACCUGGCCCCUGAGUGAUACUA